rnacentral:rRNA from 1 species
UACGAAGGGGGCUAGCGUUGUUCGGAAUCACUGGGCGUAAAGCGUGCGCAGGCGGUUUUGUAAGCCAGAUGUGAAAUCCCCGGGCUUAACCUGGGAAUGGCAUUUGGGACUGCAAGGCUCGAGUGCGGCAGAGGAGACUGGAAUUCCUGGUGUAGCAGUGAAAUGCGUAGAUAUCAGGAGGAACACCGAUGGCGAAGGCAGGUCUCUGGGCUGACACUGACGCUCAUGCACGAAAGCGUGGGGAGCAAACAGG